UACGAAGGGGGCUAGCGUUGUUCGGAAUUACUGGGCGUAAAGCGCACGCAGGCGGCUCGAUAAAUUAGAAGUGAAAGCCCCGGGCUUAACCUGGGAAUUGCCUUUAAGACUGUCGGGCUAGAAUCCAGAAGAGGGUAGUGGAAUUCCGAGUGUAGAGGUGAAAUUCGUAGAUAUUCGGAAGAACACCAGCGGCGAAGGCGACUACCUGGUCUGGCAUUGACGCUCAUGUGCGAAAGCGUGGGGAGCAAACAGG
rnacentral:rRNA from 1 species